AGAGUUUGAUCCUGGCUCAGAACGUACGCUGGCGGCACGCCUAACACAUGCAAGUCGAACGAAGUAGCAAUACUUAGUGGCAGACGGGUGAGUAACAUGUAGGUAUCUGCCCUUUGGCCUGGAAUAACACGAGGAAACUUGUGCUAAUACUGGAUAAGUCUUUACGGAGAAAGCUUUAUGCACCAUUGGAUGAGCCUGCACUUGAUUAGUUUGUUGGUGGGGUAAUGGCCUACCAAGACUAUGAUCAAUAGCUGAUUUGAGAGGAUGAUCAGCCACAUUGGGACUGAGACACGGCCCAAACUCCUACGGGAGGCAGCAGUGGGGAAUCUUGCACAAUGGAGGAAACUCUGAUGCAGCGAUGCCGCGUGAGUGAAGAAGGCCCUUGGGUUGUAAAGCUCUUUCGUCGGGGAAGAAAAUGACUGUACCCGAAUAAGAAGGUCCGGCUAACUUCGUGCCAGCAGCCGCGGUAAUACGAAGGGACCUAGCGUAGUUCGGAAUUACCGGGCUUAAAGAGUUCGUAGGUGGUUGAAAAAGUUGGUGGUGAAAUCCCAGAGCUUAACUCUGGAACUGCCAUCAAAACUUUUCAGCUAGAGUAUGAUAGAGGAAAGCAGAAUUUCUAGUGUAGAGGUGAAAUUCGUAGAUAUUAAAAAGAAUACCAAUUGCGAAGGCAGCUUUUCUGGAUCAUUACUGACACUGAGGAACGAAAGCAUGGGUAGCGAAGAGGAUUAGAUACCCCUCGUAGUCCAUGCCGUAAACGAUGUGUGUUAGACGUUGGAAAUUUAUUUUCAGUGUCGCAGCGAAAGCGAUAAACACACCGCCUGGGGAGUACGACCGCAAGGUUAAAACUCAAAGGAAUUGACGG
rnacentral:rRNA from 1 species